CAAAACAAAGUCUGCUGUGUAAUCAAAAACUUCUAUUUCACAUUUUAUUAUUUUAUUUUCAACUUGAUGAUAAAUGUUUUGUGGAAAUGUGGGCCCUAUCUGCACGACAAAGGCAUUCCUAAUUUCCAAUGCUGGGCUGUGCGAGAGAAUUUGUGAUCCAUAUCGCUAGGACAGGAUAUGAAUACAUUUCAAAAUAGACAUGCUGCGCUCGGUUGACGUCCGUUGUUAUUUUAACAUGCGCAUCUGUCAAAAUUAGCAUGUUUUAUUUUUUCCUUUUUGAUACGGUUCAUCUGAACUUUAACAAACUAAAUUUAAGCCAGCCGGUUUCUGCAUAGAGUUGUAUUUAUAUUAAGCGUGAAUCAAUGACUUAAGAACAUCAGUUGGCAAACAAAGCCAUAAUCAAACCAGAAAACUGUGAAUGCAACGAAAUUGAAAGUCCCCACAAAAGUCACCAAUGGCAAUCAGGUUUAGGCAAUAAAAUAAAUUAAUUGAGGUGGCUUCGCUGGAUGAGAGACAGUUGCAGCUUUUUAUGGAGGAAUCCAUGGACGGCAUCAAGCGCAUAAAAUUCCAACAUUUAGCACCAGCAACAGAGCCGCAGUUAAACAAUGAGACAGUAGUCAUUGAGCCGGCGAGCUGGUGAGCUGGGGAGCUGUGUGGCUGAGUUAAGCCUUUGGGGGGCUAUUGUAAUGCAAACAGAUCUCUUGCGCUCUCUGAAGUGGCCACCAUUUCUGUUUGCCAAACAUGGUGUAUGGAAGCCCAAAUGUUCAUGUUAAAAAAAUGGCUUUGUUUUGUCACUGUUCGCUCGA